rnacentral:rRNA from 1 species
AUUGAACGCUGGCGGCAGGCCUAACACAUGCAAGUCGAGCGGAUGAAGGGAGCUUGCUCCUGGAUUCAGCGGCGGACUGGUGAGUAAUGCCUAGGAAUCUGCCUGGUAGUGGGGGAUAACGUCCGGAAACGGGCGCUAAUACCGCAUACGUCCUGAGGGAGAAAGUGGGGGAUCUUCGGACCUCACGCUAUCAGAUGAGCCUAGGUCGGAUUAGCUAGUUGGUGGGGUAAAGGCCUACCAAGGCGACGAUCCGUAACUGGUCUGAGAGGAUGAUCAGUCACACUGGAACUGAGACACGGUCCAGACUCCUACGGGAGGCAGCAGUGGGGAAUAUUGGACAAUGGGCGAAAGCCUGAUCAAGCCAUGCGGCGUGUGUGAAGAAGGUCUUCGGAUUGUAAAGCACUUUAAGUUGGGAGGAAGGGCAGUAAGUUAAUACCUUGCUGUUUUGACGUUACCAACAGAAUAAGCACCGGCUAACUUCGU